rnacentral:lncRNA from 1 species
CGGGUAACUGGAAUGCUGUUAUUGAUAGAAGAGGUAGUGCUCUUAAAACUAUCACACCCAACACUGAGGUGAGUAACAAAUUUGACGCCCUUACACAUGAAGAGGAGAAUCAAUCUAAAUAUAUCAAAGGGGUCGAUGAUAACACAUCUCACAAUAACAAUAUAGAAAUGAAAAAAGAAGAAACUGCUAAAGAUUGGGUAACAAAAGUUUUUGGGCCAAUGCUACAAGGAGAACAACGCAAUGAAGACCAAAUAGAAGGCGAAACAAAUCAACACAUUAUGUCUUAUAAUGAAACAACUCUAAUGGGAAUAAAGCAUGUGGAUCAACAACAACACCACAAGGUGGUUUCACUUGUUCACGUACAUAUGGGGAAAGAGGUGGUACAAAAUGUUAGCAGCAAUCCGAGCAACACUGUCCAGGAAGAGGAAAUUCAAUUUAUUGGAGAAGGGG